rnacentral:rRNA from 1 species
UGGGGAAUAUUGCACAAUGGGCGCAAGCCUGAUGCAGCCAUGCCGCGUGUAUGAAGAAGGCCUUCGGGUUGUAAAGUACUUUCAGCGAGGAGGAAGGCGUUGUGGUUAAUAACCGCAGCGAUUGACGUUACUCGCAGAAGAAGCACCGGCUAACUCCGUGCCAGCAGCCGCGGUAAUACGGAGGGUGCAAGCGUUAAUCCGAAUUACUGGGCGUAAAGCGCACGCAGGCGGUCUGUCAAGUCGGAUGUGAAAUCCCCGGGCUCAACCUGGGAACUGCAUCCGAAACUGGCAGGCUAGAGUCUUGUAGAGGGGGGUAGAAUUCCAGGUGUAGCGGUGAAAUGCGUAGAGAUCUGGAGGAAUACCGGUGGCGAAGGCGGCCCCCUGGACAAAGACUGACGCUCAGGUGCGAAAGCGUGGGGAGCAAACA